UGGUUCAGCCCGGGGUCGAACCGGGGACCUUCCGCGUGUGAGGCGGACGUGAUAACCACUACACCACUGAACC
rnacentral:tRNA from 11 species